rnacentral:tRNA from 1 species
GCAUGGGUGGUUCAGUGGUAGAAUUCUCGCCUGCCACGCGGGAGGCCCGGGUUCGAUUCUCGGGCCAUGCA